rnacentral:lncRNA from 1 species
CCCCGCGCCCGUCCGACCUCUGCGCUGGCCCCGCUGGGGAACUUCGCAGCAUCCUGGCACCGUAGAAACAAUCAAAAUGUAACCAGAGGAGCUGAACAUUAGCAAGAUAUUAAAUAAAUAAAUACGAAUCAAAUAAGAAGAAGGAGACAACGACCUGCUGUCAAAGCGUGAAGGACAAAUUGCUUGCUUCUUCCAAGGGAUCUGCUGAGAGGUGGGAACCGGUAGAAGCCAUCUGAGGCCUUGAAAAUUCAAAGUGAAAAGAGAAGAACCACUCCUGCAGAAGACAUUUCGUCAUUGGGUAUCCACAAUACUCUGAAAUACCCCCUCCACUGAGGAAAUAAAUCUACAUACAUAAGCACUGACAAGACACAGAAUAGUAGCACCUGGGAACAGCACUGUCAUGAACAUACAAGCUUGAUCGAAUGGAUCUUGCUGGGAUUUGUUACCAAGGAGAGGACUGAAAUAAAAUAAGCUGGAAGAAUGUUGCUCUCAUUGAGUAAAUGUUUAUAUCUAAGUGUUUAUCAAAAC